rnacentral:tRNA from 1 species
CAGAUCUGGGGCGCCCUAGUUCGGCAGUGGCGGGUUCGAUUCCUCUUUU